UACAGAGGGGGCAAGCGUUAUUCGGAAUUAUUGGGCGUAAAGGACGCGUAGGCGGCCUGGCAAGUGGAAGGUGAAAUCCCUCGGCUUAACCGAGGAACUGCCCUCCAAACUGCUUGGCUUGAGUCCGGGAGAGGUGAGUGGAAUUCCCAGCUGUAGCGGUGAAAUGCGUAGAUAUUGGGAGGAACACCAGUGGCGAAGGCGGCUCACUGGACCGGAACUGACGCUGAGGCGCGAAAGCGUGGGGAGCAAACGGG
rnacentral:rRNA from 1 species